rnacentral:tRNA from 1 species
GGAGGGGUCGCAUAGUGGCCUAGUGCGCUCGCUUGGAAAGCGAGUAAGGGUGAAAGCCCUUCGCGGGUUCGAAUCCCGCCUCCUCCG